UUCCAGAAUCUUCUAAUCAACAUUCAACAGUGCUGUUAUUAGUUGAAGUAAUUCAAAUAGCUGUGGAUUCUUUUCACAUUCAUGUUUAGGUUUGAUGAAUUGAUUAGCAAAUUUGCAUCCUAGACAGAACAUGAAAAAUCUUUUGAAAUUAAAUACUUUUAGCCCACGUUUAGUUGGGUGAUUUUAGAGGUUAGAAAGACUUAUUGUUUUUUUUUGAGUAAUUAGUUAACCAUUAAGUAGGUAAUCUAAUCACUCAAUUUAUU
rnacentral:lncRNA from 1 species